GUAAUGCCUAGGAAUCUGCCUGGUAGUGGGGGAUAACGUUCGGAAACGGACGCUAAUACCGCAUACGUCCUACGGGAGAAAGCAGGGGACCUUCGGGCCUUGCGCUAUCAGAUGAGCCUAGGUCGGAUUAGCUAGUUGGUGRGGUAAUGGCUCACCAAGGCGACGAUCCGUAACUGGUCUGAGAGGAUGAUCAGUCACACUGGAACUGAGACACGGUCCAGACUCCUACGGGAGGCAGCAGUGGGGAAUAUUGGACAAUGGGCGAAAGCCUGAUCCAGCCAUGCCGCGUGUGUGAAGAAGGUCUUCGGAUUGUAAAGCACUUUAAGUUGGGAGGAAGGKUUGUAGAUUAAUACUCUGCAAUUUUGACGUUACCGACAGAAUAAGCACCGGCUAACUCUGUGCCAGCAGCCGCGGUAAUACAGAGGGUGCAAGCGUUAAUCGGAAUUACUGGGCGUAAAGCGCGCGUAGGUGGUUUGUUAAGUUGGAUGUGAAAUCCCCGGGCUCAACCUGGGAACUGCAUUCAAAACUGACUGACUAGAGUAUGGUAGAGGGUGGUGGAAUUUCCUGUGUAGCGGUGAAAUGCGUAGAUAUAGGAAGGAACACCAGUGGCGAAGGCGACCACCUGGACUAAUACUGACACUGAGGUGCGAAAGCGUGGGGAGCA
rnacentral:rRNA from 1 species